GUGGGGAAUAUUGGACAAUGGGGGGAACCCUGAUCCAGCCAUGCCGCGUGUGUGAAGAAGGCCUUUUGGUUGUAAAGCACUUUAAGCGAGGAGGAGGCUACCGAGAUUAAUACUCUUGGAUAGUGGACGUUACUCGCAGAAUAAGCACCGGCUAACUCUGUGCCAGCAGCCGCGGUAAUACAGAGGGUGCAAGCGUUAAUCGGAUUUACUGGGCGUAAAGCGCGCGUAGGUGGCCAAUUAAGUCAAAUGUGAAAUCCCCGAGCUUAACUUGGGAAGUGCAUUCGAUACUGGUUGGCUAGAGUAUGGGAGAGGAUGGUAGAAUUCCAGGUGUAGCGGUGAAAUGCGUAGAGAUCUGGAGGAAUACCGAUGGCGAAGGCAGCCAUCUGGCCUAAUACUGACACUGAGGUGCGAAAGCAUGGGGAGCAAACAGGAUUAGAUACCCCGGUAGUCC
rnacentral:rRNA from 1 species